CCUACGGGAGGCAGCAGUGAGGAAUAUUGGUCAAUGGACGGGAGUCUGAACCAGCCAAGUAGCGUGAAGGAUGACUGCCCUAUGGGUUGUACACUUCUUUUAUAUGGGAAUAAAAUGUUCCCCGUGUGGGAUGUUGUAUGUACCAUAUGAAUAAGGAUCGGCUAACGCCGUGCCAGCAGCCGCGGUAAUACGGAGGAUACGAGCGUUAUCCGGAUUGAUUGGGUUUAAAGGGAGCGUAGGUGGAUUGUUAAGUCAGUUGUGAAAGUUCGCGGCUUAACCGUAGAAUUGCAGUUGAAACUGGCAGUCGUGAGUACAGUAGAGGUAGGCGGAAUUCGGGGUGUAGCGGUGAAAUGCUUAGAUAUCACGCAGAACUCCGAUUGCGAAGGCAGUUCACUGGACUGCAACUGACACUGAGGCACGAAAGUGUGGGUAUCAAACAGGAUUAGAUACCCGGGUAGUC
rnacentral:rRNA from 1 species